CGCCUUGCCAGCCCGCUCAGAAACUACAAAGGAAUUGACGGGGGCCCGCACAAGCGGUGGAGUAUGUGGUUUAAUUCGAUGCAACGCGAAGAACCUUACCUGGUCUUGACAUCCCGGAGACCCUUAGGAAACUAGGGGGUGCUUCCAUCUGGAAGAAUCUGGAGACAGGUGCUGCAUGGCUGUCGUCAGCUCGUGUCGUGAGAUGUUGGGUUAAGUCCCGCAACGAGCGCAACCCUUGCCUUUAGUUGCCAGCAGUUCGGCUGGGCACUCUAAAGGGACUGCCGGUGUUAAACCGGAGGAAGGUGGGGAUGACGUCAAGUCCUCAUGGCCUUUAUGACCAGGGCUACACACGUACUACAAUGGCCGGCACAGCGGGAAGCGGAGGGGCGACCCUGAGCGGAUCCCUUGAAAGCCGGUCCCAGUUCGGAUUGCAGUCUGCAACUCGACUGCAUGAAGUUGGAAUCGCUAGUAAUCGCGGAUCAGCCAAGCCGCGGUGAAUACGUUCCCGGGCCUU
rnacentral:rRNA from 1 species